GCAAGAUACAAAAUAAUAUAUGCCAAGUGAUCCCAAUUAAAAACAAGAGUGUAUUUAUGUAUAAAAAUAGAAGAAAUAUCAACAUUUUAAGAGUAUUUUAUUUCUGUCUUUUAAAAAGUUUAUCUGCAAUGAAUAUUUCCUUUUGAUAAGUUGAUAACCCCUAAUAAAUAUUAUUUAAAACACCAAAAAAGACUCAUGUACGCAGGGCACAGUGGCUCACGUCUGUAAUCCCAGCACUUUGGGAGGGCAAGGUGGGAGGAUUGAUUAAGGCUAGGAGUUUGAGACCAGCCUGGGCAACAUAGCAAGACCCUGUCUCUACGAAAAUAAAUUAAAAACAAACUUAGUUGGGCAUAGUGGCAUGUGCCUGCCAUCCUAGCUACUAGGGAAGCUAGGGCGGAGGGUCACUUGAACUCAGGAGGUCGAGGCUGCAGUGUGCUGUGAUUGCACCACUGUACUCCCACCUUGGUGACACAGCAAGACCUUGUCUUUAAAACAAAACCAAAACACCUCUUGUGGUAUAUGUGUCUUUUAUAAAACCAUUUUUAAAAAUAUAUUUUUAAGGUGGGAAAUACAAUGUAUUUUCUCUCUUGGGAAAGUUUCCCUUGAUUUUAUCCAAACUCUUGGGGGCUGGAGCUGUAGCCCACUGCUCACAUUCUUGGCUAUCUCUAAUGUGUUUUCUAUUUCAUGUCUCCUCAGGUGUCUCCUACAGCUACUGGUGUGUUUUUUGCAUAUUGGCCUUCCAACAUUUCUUGUUGAAUUAUUUCAGGCUCACCUUGGUCAUAAUGAGUGGAUCUGGCUUUACCCAGGGCUUCAGCCUUUAGCAUUUCACAUGAGGAAUAUCCACUGAGCUGGGGGUCAAGAGGCCUGACCUUUAAUCUUGGCUCUGCCCCAGGCAAGUGUGAACUUGGGUAAGAACACUGAGGCCAGGAAAUGUUGAGUGACGUGUCCAUACUCACAUAGCAUGGAAGAAUCAGAGGCCAUGGGGUCAGGACGUAUGGGCUUAGGAUAUACCGGAAGAGGCCUGAUUUCCAGUCGAGCAUUUGCCAAAAAUCAGCAGCGUGAUUUGGGCAAGUCAUUUUCCCUAUUGAUUAAAGUGAAUUAACAGAACACAAUGCAAAAUUUUCUAGGUUCCUUAUCUAUUUUGUGGAUUGAAAAUAGGGUCCAGGUAGAUUGACAGACAUAGAACUUCCUGGUGAAAUAAAUGAGACGUUGCUGGACACAAUAA